rnacentral:rRNA from 1 species
UACGAGUGCUUCAAGCGUUAUCCGGAAUCAUUGGGCGUAAAGGGUGUGUAGGCGGCUAUGUUAGUCUCGCGUUAAAUUCUUCGGCUCAACCGGGGGCAUGCGUGGGAAACGGCAUAGCUUGAGGAUGGAAGGGGUCUCUGGAACUCAUGGUGUAGCGGUGAAAUGCGUUGAUAUCAUGGGGAACACCAAAAGCGAAGGCAAGAGACUGGUCCAUUUCCUGACGCUGAAACACGAAAGCGUGGGUCGCGAAUGGG